AAACUAGGACCGAGUCUAACUUGCGACCGCCGCACGAAUUGUGUACGUUCAGCUUGCACUUUCAGGAAGCCCCGCUCAUUUCACCGCGUGCCCACUCAUUGCGCACCUAUUAGAUGGGAAUUCUACCCCUAUUGCCGACCUUUGCCAGCGAUUAUGGCUUAUGCGAGGGCUAAAAUAGUAACCCCCCUUUCUACCGGAGACGAACGUUCGAUAGCGAAUUCCUACUCAGGCGCAGGGUAAUCGAUCAACCGCCCCAUUGCCGGGUGGUUCCGUUGCUACCCAUCGGCCAGACUCUCCUACUGGCCGGUGUGACCUUGACCUUGUGCCAGGUCUGAGGAUGCCCUCCGUCGUCACCCCUUAUAACSGCGUUACCCGCUUUCGGACUGCGUCGCUGCGGCGCACUCCCUACUUCCAAGAGCCUAGCAUUUGGAGACAGUCCCCCCUUCUUUGGGGGAGCACACUUAUUACGCUCCCGAACUGNCAUGGGGGUUUCCUUCGUGGCCGAUUGAGGCACGGUCGUCGGCGCCAUUAUGCCUCCCACGUUCGCAAUUAGCCUUAGUGACCCGCAUUUCGCGUGCAUCCGCCGAACCAUUCAGUCCCCACUUUAGGGUGUCGGGUUGACACCUUGACGGAAACUAUGACGGUCCGAACUCAUGGCCUCUCCCACCGCCUUAAGGUCCACAUCCUCACUUUAGGCAUCUAUAGACCUCCUUGUGGCCACCGCUUCCGCCGGUGGACCUGCCAUUGACUGCGACUCCACGCUUUCGCACCCAUCGUUUGUCCUAAUCUAUGGGACCAUCAGGUGCGACAUUUGCUACCCACGACCCACGACCCUACAUACAGAGCCACGGCAUCGAUUGCGCUAUUCGUGGGGCGGACCCCUCAUGCCAGCGUUCCGACUUUGAGUUUCUUUAACUGCCCCCGGGCGUGUUCGCCACCUCAUACACCAAAUUAAGCUACGUUGCGCUUCUUGGAAUGGGUCCGAACUGUAGAUCCCUUGGAAGCCUUUACUUCCCCAACGGAAGCCCCUCGGGAUUCUGUCCACGACGUACCGACAGCAGUCGAGCACGGCACUCCACAACCCAAUUCAGGGCGUUGCUCGCGUUGGGGAUAGAAGUCAACGGUCGUCCAUUCCGACCCGUGAGACCUCUCUGGCGGGGCCAGUUGCCCCUCCUUCCACCCCUGCUGCAGUUCAGUAGUACCGGGAAUGCGGACCCCGAUGUGUGCAUGAUGUUACCGCGCGUGUUUCCCAUCGCUCUGGCGCUCCACCUCGGUUAGGGUUUUUUGCGCAGGGUCAGGCCUAACCUCAGACGUUGAGCUGAGGUACUUCAGCCUUAGCGAUCAUUAAGCUCUAGUCGUACGAGCCCACUUACGCAAGGGCCCGGAACAUGUGUGGCGGGCAGUGUGGUGCUUUCAGCCAAAAUGGGCUUCGGCCACUCGAUUGAGCGUUCUCCUCGUCGGCAGAUGCCAUCCCGGCUACUAACCCCACUUCAGCAUUGU
rnacentral:rRNA from 1 species